rnacentral:rRNA from 1 species
GAGUUUGAUCCUGGCUCAGGAUAAACGCUGGCGGCGCACAUAAGACAUGCAAGUCGAACGGAAGUCGUUGUAAUGAAAUAGAAACGGACAGAGAACUUGUUCGAAGAAAGUGGAAGUAGACUUACAACAAUGGCUUUAGUGGCGGACUGGUGAGUAACGCGUAAGGAACCUGCCUUCUAGAGGGGAAUAACAAUGAGAAAUCAUUGCUAAUACCGCAUAUGCCGAGAGAAUCACAUGGUACAAUCGGGAAAAGAGUAAUCUGCUAGAAGAUGGCCUUGCGUCUGAUUAGAUAGUUGGUGGGGUAACGGCCUACCAAGUCGACGAUCAGUAGCCGGACUGAGAGGUUGAACGGCCACAUUGGGGCUGAGAUACGGCCCAGACUCCUACGGGAGGCAGCAGUCGGGAAUAUUGCGCAAUGGAGGAAACUCUGACGCAGUGACGCCGCGUAUAGGAAGAAGGUUUUCGGAUUGUAAACUAUUGUCGUUAGGGAAGAGAAAGGACAGUACCUAAGGAGGAAGCUCCGGCUAACUACGUGCCAGCCGCCGCGGUAAUUC